UUUCACUUUUCACUUCAUUUGACGCGAAUUUUGGCGCUCCUUUCAAGCGGUGGUGCCCCCGCCCGAUGUCUCUGCGGCCGUGGGGCCGUUCUGUCGUGCUGUCGCGGUGUCGCGGUGUCGUGUUGCCGUCUUGUGUGGCACACACGAUGGAUUCGCUGCCGUUUUGUAUACUAAUGGGCAACGGCGCUGGCAGGAUGCCAAGCAGCUGCGUCCUCAGGUCCUGUGGGAAGACCACUCUCUCUCUCUCCCACUCUCUCUAUGAUUCUCUGGAUCUGUCGCUCUUUCUCUUCGUUCGAGUGCGCGCGCAGUGUCCUCGGGAGAGCUCCCUCCCCCAUCCCAAUUCCCCUGCCUGGCUUGUUUAUACCAACAACUGUAGGAGCCAGCAGCGGGAAGACUGUGUACAGCACAGUUUUUGCUGUUUUCGCGGAGCUCUAGGAAUUUGGAAACUUCAUGCUUGGCCAGACCAAAAGUCCCUGCCCCAAACCCAGACCUCACCAGACCCAUAUGUGAUUGCGCCUCAUCCCCUUUAUAGCGUGGCCAACACGCCCACGAAAUGACUUUGAAACAAAUUCAUGUUGGCCUUUGGCUCCGGCUCCGACUCUGGCUCUGGCUCUGGCAUUGGCCACUCGCAUUAAAGCCAGAAGUUAUAGCCUUCUUUGGCAAACAGAAAUAAAUUAUU
rnacentral:sRNA from 1 species